GCCCUUUUGGUUCAAUGGGAGAACGUCUUCCUUGUAAGAAGAAAACGGGGGUUCGAUUCCUCCAUGGGGCUCCA
rnacentral:tRNA from 1 species